AAGGAUCAUUAUUGAAUGAACUUGGCGUGGUUGUUGCUGGCCCUCUCGGGGGCAUGUGCACACCCGCCAUCUCCAUCUCUCCACCUGUGCACCUCUUGUAGACCUGGAAUAGACUUUCCGAGGCAACUCGGUUGGGAGGAAUGCUGUCGCUUUGCGUCAGCUUUCUUUGGACUUCCAAGCCUACGUUUUUCAUAUACCCAUAGUAUGUAACAGAAUGUGUCAUUUGGGCCUCAGUGCCUAUAAACCAUAUACAACUUUCAGCAACGGAUCUCUUGGCUCUCGCAUCGAUGAAGAACGCAGCGAAAUGCGAUAAGUAAUGUGAAUUGCAGAAUUCAGUGAAUCAUCGAAUCUUUGAACGCACCUUGCGCUCCUUGGUAUUCCGAGGAGCAUGCCUGUUUGAGUGUCAUUUAAAUUCUCAACCUUAUUAGCUUUUGCUGAUAAUGGCUUGGAUGUGGGGGGGCUUAUCUUUUGCUGGCUUCUUUCACAGAGGUCAGCUCCCCUGAAAUGCAUUAGCUGGUGCCCCGCGUGGACUGUCUAUUUGGUGUGAUAAUUAUCUACGCCGUGGAUGUCUGCAAUUGGUUUUGGCACUGCUUCUAACUGUCUGUUCAUUUGGACAAUACAUGACAAUUUGACCU
rnacentral:rRNA from 1 species